rnacentral:rRNA from 1 species
UACGUAGGUGGCAAGCGUUGUCCGGAUUUAUUGGGUUUAAAGGGUGCGUAGGCGGCUUUGUAAGUCAGUGGUGAAAUAUGGCAGCUUAACUGUCAGGGUGCCAUUGAUACUGCAGAGCUUGAGUACAGAUGAGGUAGGCGGAAUUGACGGUGUAGCGGUGAAAUGCUUAGAUAUGACACAGAACACCGAUUGCGAAGGCAGCUCACUAAACUGUAACUGACGCUGAGGCACGAAAGCGUGGGGAGCAAACAGG